UAUGGGGGUUAUGCCGAGGUUGUUCCACCCGAUCCCAUUCCGAACUCGGCAGUGAAAUACCUCAGGGUCGAUGAUAGUGCUUCGGCGCGAAAGUAGAUCACCCCCAUAU
rnacentral:rRNA from 1 species